rnacentral:rRNA from 1 species
GACGAACGCUGGCGGCGUGCUUAACACAUGCAAGUCGAACGGAAAGGCCCUGCUUUUGUGGGGUGCUCGAGUGGCGAACGGGUGAGUAACACGUGAGUAACCUGCCCUUGACUUUGGGAUAACUUCAGGAAACUGGGGCUAAUACCGGAUAGGAGCUCCUGCUGCAUGGUGGGGGUUGGAAAGUUUCGGCGGUUGGGGAUGGACUCGCGGCUUAUCAGCUUGUUGGUGGGGUAGUGGCUUACCAAGGCUUUGACGGGUAGCCGGCCUGAGAGGGUGACCGGCCACAUUGGGACUGAGAUACGGCCCAGACUCCUACGGGAGGCAGCAGUGGGGAAUAUUCCACAAUGGGCGGAAGCCUGAUGCAGCAACGCCGCGUGCGGGAUGACGGCCUUCGGGUUGUAAACCGCUUUCGCCUGUGACGAAGCGUGAGUGACGGUAAUGGGUAAAGAAGCACCGGCUAACUACGUG